rnacentral:rRNA from 1 species
AGAACGAACGCUGGCGGCAUGCCUAAUACAUGCAAGUCGAACGAACACUUCGGUGUUAGUGGCGCACGGGUGCGUAACGCGUGGGAAUCUGCCCUUGGGUUCGGAAUAACAGUUGGAAACGACUGCUAAUACCGGAUGAUAUCGAAAGAUCAAAGAUUUAUCGCCCAGGGAUGAGCCCGCGUAGGAUUAGCUAGUUGGUGAGGUAAAGGCUCACCAAGGCGACGAUCCUUAGCUGGUCUGAGAGGAUGAUCAGCCACACUGGGACUGAGACACGGCCCAGACUCCUACGGGAGCAGCAGUAGGGAAUAUUGGACAAUGGGCGCAAGCCUGAUCCAGCAAUGCCGCGUGAGUGAUGAAGGCCUUAGGGUUGUAAAGCUCUUUACCCGAGAUGAUAAUGACAGUAUCGGAAGAAUAACGCCCGGACUAACCUCCGUGCCAGCAGCCGC